rnacentral:rRNA from 1 species
GCGGCAUGCCUUCACAUGCAAGUCGAACGGCAGCGCGGGUGCUUGCACCUGGCGGCGAGUGGCGAACGGGUGAGUAAUAUAUCGGAACGUGCCCUGGAGUGGGGGAUAACUAGUCGAAAGAUUAGCUAAUACCGCAUACGAUCUACGGAUGAAAGUGGGGGAUCGCAAGACCUCAUGCUCGUGGAGCGGCCGAUAUCUGAUUAGCUAGUUGGUGGGGUAAUAGCCUACCAAGGCGACGAUCAGUAGCUGGUCUGAGAGGACGACCAGCCACACUGGGACUGAGACACGGCCAGACUCCUACGGGAGGCAGCAGUGGGGAAUUUUGGACAAUGGGCGCAAGCCUGAUCCAGCAAUGCCGCGUGUGUGAAGAAGCCUUCGGGUUGUAAAGCACUUUUGUCAGGGAAGAAACGGCUCCGGCUAAUAUCCGGGGCUAAUGACGGUACCUGAAGAAUAAGCACCGGCUAACUACGUGCCAGCAGCCGCGGUAAUACGUAGGGUGCAAGCGUUAAUCGGAAUUACUGGGCGUAAAGCGUGCGCAGGCGGUUGUGUAAGUCAGAUGUGAAAUCCCCGGGCUCAACCUGGGAAUUGCAUUUGAGACUGCACGGCUAGAGUGUGUCAGAAGGGGGUAGAAUU